UACGUAGGGGGCUAGCGUUGUCCGGAAUCAUUGGGCGUAAAGCGCGCGUAGGCGGCCCAGUAAGUCCGUUGUAAAAGUCAAAGGCUCAACCUUUGAAAGCCGAUGGAUACUGCUGGGCUAGAGUCCGGAAGAGGCGAGUGGAAUUCCUGGUGUAGCGGUGGAAUGCGCAGAUAUCAGGAAGAACACCAAUGGCGAAAGCAGCUCUCUGGGACGGUACUGACGCUGAGACGCGAAAGCGUGGGGAGCGAACAGG
rnacentral:rRNA from 1 species